CCCCGCCCUGUCGCUUCGGACCACGGUCUGUCCUGUCGAGGACUCUUCGCCGAGGUGGUCGAAUAGUCACGCUUUAACCCGCGAUCCGCGAGGCGGACGGCACUCGCCAGAAACGCGCAAGUGCUCGUACGCGAGAGGAGGAGGCCCCCCGCGCAGAACAUCUGUCGGUCCCAUCCGUCGCGCUUGGCGAGCCUUCACCGAGAGACACGUUCUCCGAUUCGCAGGAUCGGACGGUGAGAUCGUCGGUGAUCCGGAUCGCAGACGGCCGGUGUGCGUGUCUUAUGUAUCCAGGGAAGGAUCAACGGAUCGAUUAUCGGCCUCGCGACGGGCAGUCGCGCGACGGGGAAUUUCAGGAUCGACGCGCGACCGGUAUCGAUGCCGAGGCAACCCGCUGCGUGGCAACCAGUUGCGAAUGUGAGCUCGGUGUCGAGUCGAGGAGGAUCCGCCUUGAGUUAACCGCGAAUGGUCCUUCGGUGUAAGGGGAUUCGUUUAUCAGGAGUCAGCCGGUGAAGGCUCGCAUCACGGGUUCCGCAUAUUACGAGGGUGCGUCGAGUGCUUACUCUUUUCGGUAGACAGACGGUGGAUCGAUCUGGAGCGCGUGGCGGAUCGUCAAGUGUUGCGACCCCGCUCUGCUGUUGAUUGCGAAGCGGUGUAACGAAGCUCGCUGACGUAUAUACGAAUGAGAAGCGCCUUCAUUAAAGCGGAGAAAGAAUAUCGUUAAACAAUUGUGGCUUCCUCUAGCAUAAUUAUCGAUCAAUCUUAAGAAUUCGCGUGCGACCGGUACACGUAGAGGAUAGACACACACACACGGUCGCAUCACGUCGACGCGGUUGUCACAAGUUUACAAACGCGAUAUCGAGCUCCUACGGCUCUCCGAUAUCCGUCGUUCAAAUACCACAACGUGCGCCUUACUGAGAUAGUCGAAGAAGAAAAAAACGAAUCGCAAGCCUAACUUGGGAUCAACGGUCUAACAAUUUCAGCACGCGUGUUUUUUUUAACGCGCGAAAAUCACAGCCUUCUCGAAGAUAUUCUUUUUAAUGCGUGCGCGCGGAGCUGCGCGCAUAUUAUUAUCGAAAUGCACGAUUUGCUGCGAAACGGCAGCGGCUGAAAGGUCGUGAUCGAUCGGCUCAAUUUGAUAACCCGAAAGAACCUUAAAGCGUGCAAGGUCGUCAUGUAUAAGGCGAUAAGGCGGAGACUGUCUACGGUUGAAAAGUGAAGGAGCAAAGUCGAGUGGCACUCGGAGGAGCCGUACGUGGCCUAUCUGCGCGAUGCUGAGAUUUACAAGCACCCACUUGAACGAGACUCGAACUUGAAGAUGAUCGAAUUCACCGAUCUGUCCGCGUAAUGUCGAGCCAAGGUCGACGCGGGAAGGUGUGUUUAGAGCUUGACGGAGCGCGCUGCAUCGAUCGCAAGAUCGCCCCUCAUGGUGUUCCUCGAGAUUUCGGGAGAAAGCUCGCGACAAUAGAGUUCGUUAGUGAAAUAACCCGGAAGUCGUCCAUCGAGAAUAUCGAAUAACGCAAAUUACAUUUUCGUCGCAGAUUACGUUUGAUUUUUGUAUCGAGGAGCUCAUAUCGUUCGAUGAGAUCUUCAUCGGCCUAUGCGACCAAGUUACCCGGUUAUCUUAUAUCGCAUUACGGGACGUUGAGCUAGUAAACGGCCUCCGCUCAAUGGUUCCUAGCGAAAUACGGGAUCGCGAUCGAGUUGACUUGAUCCUCCUCCUCCUCCCCCGUCCCUCGCCGGCCGUCUCGUCCCCGGAAAACGAUGGUCGACGCGUACCCGCUCGACAGUUGAUCCCGGAGGAUCGAGGCACUCCACGAAACAAAUCCCCCCGUGUCGUCACGGUCUACGAACGAAGCGAUGAUCGGCCUGUAGACUGGCGCGCUCGAUGAAUCGUCGCGGAAGCGAGCAUCGAGCAGCAGCUAGCACCAUCCGAAGAAGAAGAAGACGUAGAAGCCGUAGAAGAAGCCCAGCCGCGUAGCGUCGUCCCCAUCUCACUCUCUCGCGACAGCCGUUUCUCGGGUGAUGCGCGGAAGCAGCUCCGAGCUCCUGCUGGAGGCAAGCUGCAGCCAGUGCCAGAGCGAUUACGAUCGCGGACAUCAGCGUCGGGACAGCGGCGGCGGCGGCGGCGGCGACGGCGGCGGCGACGGCAGGCACGACUUCCACGAGCGGGAGCUACGUCGUCGCAAGCUGUUGGAGCUCGGGUUCAGCGCGUCGCGGCGCCGACCGCCACGGCGUACCUGCCGUCAGCGGUUUAAUUUCUACGCCACGUCGGCGCUGGCCUUCGUCGCCACCUCGGGUGGCGCGGCCCUUCUCUUCCUGGUGCCGCUCUACGUCGAUCCAGCCAUCAGCACCCUAGCGGCGGACUUCUCGCCGGAACCGGUCAUCUGCACGACCUCGCGACGCGAGGACCUCGCCGGCCUGUUCAAUUGCACAUGGAGCUCGUGCCGCGAGGGUUGCACCAGUGAUGUGUACAGGUGUACUCAUAUAUACGUCACGUACACGCCGUGGAGCAAUGCGACUAUGAGGAACGACACCGGCGGCAAAAACACGACCGCGAACACCACCGCCGCUCUGGACACUGUCACUGCCGUGUCCUCCCCGGGGGAUGUCGAGGCGGUGCUGCUAGUGAACAUCAAGGGCUGCGGAUAUCCGCCGGUGGUCGACUGCGUGAACUUCACCCGCGAGUUGGGUUACGAGGGCGCGAGGUUCCCCUGCCAUUACAGCCGGGUGAACGGUAGCAUAGUGAUGGCGAACUAUAAUCGCGAGGCACAGGUCGCUAUCAUCAUGCACUUCUUCGCGGCGCCUUUCGUAGUGACUCUCGCGACCAGCGUCGCGCUGUGUGUGAUGCACUGUGACUGCAGGUGCACGCCGCCGCCGCGGCACCCGCCACGCGGCAUGAGAAGAUCCAGGGGCAACGAUCUCAGCUGCUGCAUGAGUAUAAAAAAUCGAUAACGGGUUAUAGAAGCGUGCCCGAAGUCGUCCGAUUUAGAAGGUGUAUUUGACGAGGCAAAUAAACUUUCUAAACCAUGCGUAAGACAAAGCGACUUAACAAAGAUGUUACUACCAACGUAUUUACUGUCGUCGUGAAACACGAUGCUAAACUCUUUCGGCUGCAAAUACUGCCUUAGAAGAAAAGAGCGAAUCGCAGAAACGGAAAUCGGAUAUCGAUUCAUCAUCUCUCGUAAUCUCCGCUAAUUAACUCCAAAAGGUGCAUUCAUCUCAUUAACAAAACGAGUGCGCCACCGAAAGCCGUGACUGCGCUCUCCGUUGCAACGCAAUGAACAUGUAAAAAGAGAUCUCUAGUUAUCGAUCGGACGCCGUAAGUAAUUCCGUGCACUCGGUAUAAUCGACAGUUCUCACGGACGUUGAUAUGUUGCGUGAACAAGCAUAGAGCAAUCGCGCGUAACUCGCAUAAUCUAUCAUUCUUCCGAAUAUUUUUCUCUCUCUCUCUUUCUCUCUCUCUCUCUUUCUCUGUCCUCUUAAUUUUUCCUCUAAUUUAGUCGUUGAGCAGAGUAGUUAUACAAAUCAUAAAUAUAAUAUUUCCCUCAUUUUGGAAAAGAGUUUAGUCAAAAUAUCUUAUGUACAGUUCUAGUAAUUUUUUUCUAUUCUCCCAAAAAUAUCCAAAGUUUUAUGAAUACUACUUAAAAUAUAUGAUUUACGAUUAAUAUGACUAUUGAUUGCUCAACCGCUGAAUUAUCUUUUAAACGCAUGCCACAUACAUAAAUGCUACAAUUAAAAAAAAAACAAAAAAAGAGAGAAGAAACCAAAUUGUGAUACCGAGAAACCGUAUGUUAAGAAAUGAUUGUAACAAUAGCGCUUGAAGGCCAGGAAGGAUGGAAGGAGUGAAAAAUAUAUUUUCAUUUAUAAUAUUACUCUUUCCUCCAAACCAUAAUACCAUCAUCGUGCACGUCGAAGAGCCGCCGGAAAUUAUUGAAUUUCGCGCUGCAGCACGACGAGGGUGAAAUAUUAAUCCACAUUCAGCGAAUGCGGGAAGUGAAGUCGAAGUGGCGAUUGAAGUGAAAAGUCGUGGCGUUUCUGCCAUUUUUAAAGCGCAUCGCAAACCAACAUGACGCGCCUCGAGGGCUGGAUUCCCCUCACCCCUGAAGGCUGCCUUGUUAUCUUUCUACUUUCGUCUGUUUGUCAUUUCCACGGCGAUGGUAUUAGAACUCGGAGGAUCGAGGGGGCGGCGAGGGUGGCAGCUAGUAAAUGUCAGCCUCGGCUGUCAUACAUCAGACGUGGAUUAACCGGCGACCCUGGCCGUGCUGCUAUCGUUUCUCUCGCUUUCUCUGCCUUCUCUCCUUCUCGCACUUCGCCUCUUCUCUCUUUACAUCUCUCCUUUACCCGCUUCUCUUCGCAAAGUUGUUUGCCGCUGGACAUAUAUCGCGUGCACCUCUAUUGCAAACGGUAUUUCCGUUGUCAGGGCUUUUCGUUUUUAUCUCGCCAGACCACGAGAGUUUGUCGCACAAAUCAUUGUAAUCCGCAAUAAUGUAAUUAUGUUUGCCCGGGACUCGUCCCGGGAUUAUCCCGGUAAUCGCAUGCUGUCUGAAUGAAACUGGCGUAUUAUUUCCCACGGGGUCACCCCUUUCGUGUCCCGAUAACUUUACUUUCGGUGAGAUAGCCGCCGCCGUCGAUUCUCGUUUUAAGUAGUAACAAGUAAAGAUAAGAUAAUGAUGAAAUUUAGAGAAAAAUUAUAAAGGGCAAAAAGUACGAAAUAAAAUGUUGUAAGA